AUUUUACUGUGUUAAGGUAGCAUAAUCACUUCCCUUUUAAUUAAAGGUUUGUAUGAAAGAUUGAACAAUUAAAUUUCUUUUUUAUAAAUUUUUAUUAAACCUAAACUAAACAUAAAAAUGUUUUUAUAAAAAAAAUAGACGAUAAGACCCUAUUGAACUUUACUCCAGUUUAGCUGGGGAAGCUACUUAAAUAUAAUUUUAAUCACUGCCCCUAAAUAAAAGUCUAAUAAAAUUAAUUUAAAUAAGUUACCAUAGGGAUAACAGCGUAAUAUAAUUUUAAAGAUCUUAUUAAAAAUUAAGCUUACGACCUCGAUGUUGAAUUAGAAUAUCUUAAAAAUGCAAUAA
rnacentral:rRNA from 1 species